GACGAACGCUGGCGGCGUGCUUAACACAUGCAAGUCGAGCGGAGCGGCGAACGGGUGAGUAACGCGUGAGUAACUGCCCCCCUCUCUGGGAUAAAAGUUGGAAACGGCUGCUAAUACCGGAUAGUGGGGGAUGACUCGCGUCCGAUGCGCAUGUGGGUGGGGUAGUGGACUUCCAAGGCGACGACGGGUAGCCGGCCUGAUAGGGCGACCGGCCACAUGGGGAUGAGAUGCCGCCCAAACUCCUACGGGAGGCAGCAGUGGGGAAUAUUGCACAAUGGGGGAAACCCGUAUGCAGCAACGCCGGGUGGGGGAUGACGGCCUUCGGGGUGUAAACCGAUUUCAGCCAUUACUGGGUAGUGGCAGAAGAGGCACCGGCUACCUACGUGCCAGCAGCCGCGUAAUAC
rnacentral:rRNA from 1 species